GCGGAUGUGGCGGAAUCGGCAGACGCGCUAGAUUCAGGUUCUAGUGGUCACUAUGACUGUGGAGGUUCAAGUCCUCUCAUCCGCACCA
rnacentral:tRNA from 1 species